rnacentral:rRNA from 1 species
GGAACUUCUUUAAAGGAUUUCUUCGGAAUGAAUUUGAUUAAGUUUAGUGGCGGACGGGUGAGUAACGCGUGAGUAACCUGCCUCUAAGAGGGGAAUAACAUUCUGAAAAGAAUGCUAAUACCGCAUAAUAUAUAUUUAUCGCAUGGUAGAUAUAUCAAAGAUUUAUCGCUUAGAGAUGGACUCGCGUCCGAUUAGUUAGUUGGUGAGGUAACGGCUCACCAAGACCGCGAUCGGUAGCCGGACUGAGAGGUUGAACGGCCACAUUGGGACUGAGACACGGCCCAGACUCCUACGGGAGGCAGCAGUGGGGGAUAUUGCGCAAUGGGGGAAACCCUGACGCAGCAACGCCGCGUGAAGGAUGAAGGUCUUCGGAUUGUAAACUUCUUUUAUUAAGGACGAAUAAAGUGACGGUACUUAAUGAAUAAGCUCCGGCUAACUACGUGCCAGCAGCCACGGUAAUACGUAGGGAGCAAGCGUUGUCCGGAUUUACUGGGUGUAAAGGGUGCGUAGGCGGCUUUGCAAGUCAGAUGUGAAAUCUAUGGGCUCAACCCAUAGCCUGCAUUUGAAACUGCAGAGCUUGAGUGAAGUAGAGGCAGGCGGAAUUCCCCGUGUAGCGGUGAAAUGCGUAGAGAUGGGGAGGAACACCAGUGGCGAAGGCGGCCUGCUG